GUGUGUGUUUGUGUGUGUGUGUGUGUGUGUGUGUGUGUGUGUGUGUGUGUACAUGCAUAUAUGUGUUAGUACUGUUCCAAAUGUAACAAAAGAUAUUGACUAAAGGGG